rnacentral:rRNA from 1 species
GGAGCGUUCUGUAAGCCUGCGAAGGUGUGCUGUGAGGCAUGCUGGAGGUAUCAGAAGUGCGAAUGCUGACAUAAGUAACGAUAAAGCGGGUGAAAAGCCCGCUCGCCGGAAGACCAAGGGUUCCUGUCCAACGUUAAUCGGGGCAGGGUGAGUCGACCCCUAAGGCGAGGCCGAAAGGCGUAGUCGAUGGGAAACAGGUUAAUAUUCCUGUACUUGGUGUUACUGCGAAGGGGGGACGGAGAAGGCUAUGUUGGCCGGGCGACGGUUGUCCCGGUUUAAGCGUGUAGGCUGGUUUUCCAGGCAAAUCCGGAAAAUCAAGGCUGAGGCGUGAUGACGAGGCACUACGGUGCUGAAGCAACAAAUGCCCUGCUUCCAGGAAAAGCCUCUAAGCAUCAGGUAACAUCAAAUCGUACCCCAAACCGACACAGGUGGUCAGGUAGAGAAUACCAAGGCGCUUGAGAGAACUCGGGUGAAGGAACUAGGCAAAAUGGUGCCGUAACUUCGGGAGAAGGCACGCUGAUAUGUAGGUGAAGUCCCUUGCGGAUGGAGCUGAAAUCAGUCGAAGAUACCAGCUGGCUGCAACUGUUUAUUAAAAACACAGCACUGUGCAAACACGAAAGUGGACGUAUACGGUGUGACGCCUGCCC